UACAGGGGGUGCAAACGUUGCUCGGAAUCAUUGGGCGUAAAGCGCACGUAGGCGGUUCGUUAUGUCGGAUGUGAAAGCCCUUGGCUUAACCGAGGAAGUGCAUCCGAAACUGGCGAGCUAGAGUACGAAAGAGGAUCGCGGAAUUCCCGGUGUAGAGGUGAAAUUCGUAGAGAUCGGGAGGAACACCAGUGGCGAAGGCGGCUACCUGGACCAGCACUGACACUGAGGCACGAAAGCGUGGGGAGCAAACAGG
rnacentral:rRNA from 1 species